UGACUCUGGUUUCGCUUCAAAUCAUAUAAAUCUUUCACCUUUUACUAAGAUUUCCGUGUAGAGGAACAAUUCUGAGUUUUUUUUGUUUUUUGUUUUGAGACGGAGUUUCGC